rnacentral:rRNA from 1 species
UACAGAGGUGCGAGCGUUGUCGGAAUCACUGGCGUAAAGGCGCGUAGGUGGUGGCUAAGCGUGCGGUGAAAGCUCGGAGCUCAACUCCGAGUCGGCCGUGCGAACUGGCUCACUGGAGCAUAGUAGAGGCAGGUGGAAUUCGGGUGUAGCGGUGGAAUGCGUAGAGAUCGGAAGAACACCGGUGGCGAAGGCGGCCUGCUGGCUAUGGCUGACACUGAGGCGCGACAGCGUGGGAGCAAACAGG